UACAGAGGAGCCAAGCGUUGUCCGGAUUGACUGGGCGUAAAGCGCACGCAGGCGGGUGCGCGCGUGGGGUGUGAAAUCUGGCCGCUUAACGGCCAGGCGCCAUCCCAUACGGCGCGUCUGGAGCCUUGCAGAGGUCGGUGGAAUUGCCGGUGUAGUGGUGAAAUGCGUAGAGAUCGGCAGGAACACCCAGGGGGAAACCAGCCGACUGGGCAAGUGCUGACGCUGAGGUGCGAGAGCGUGGGGAGCGAACAGG
rnacentral:rRNA from 1 species